rnacentral:lncRNA from 1 species
AAAAGGAAAAUUGAGUCAGAUAUUCAAACAAAUGAUUAUCUAAUUAAAGAUUUAAGUAAAGUUCAAUAUACAACCAGUAUGUUGACUAGUAAUAUAAAAAUUUAACUAUUGAUGAGAAAGAUCCUAAAAAUAUAAGAGAAUUUAUUAAUAGAACUUCACUAGGACGGUUAGGUGUAAAACCUAAUACUCAUCAUAGGCAUAAAAAGAAAAAAUAUAAUAAACAAGUCAAAGGGA